rnacentral:rRNA from 1 species
UGCGUAGGCGGCGUUAUAAGUCAGAGGUGAAAUCCCACAGCUUAACUGUGGAACUGCCUUUGAUACUGUAAUGCUUGAAUCAGGUUGAGGUCGGCGGAAUGUGUUGUGUAGCGGUGAAAUGCAUAGAUAUGACAUAGAACACCAAUUGCGAAGGCAGCUGGCUAGACCUGUAUUGACGCUGAGGCACGAAAGCGUGGGGAGCGAACAGGAUUAGAUACCCUGGUAGUCC